AAUACAAAUUAGCUCUUUUGAAUUCCCAUUGUCUGGUUAGGCAUAGAAGAAAUGUCUACGAUGUAUUCAUGAUUAUUAUUAGAUAGUAUGUACUGAACCAGUGUUAGUAUAUCUGAACCAUCAGCACGCUAGUAUAAUAGAACUCACACUUGACCUGUUUUUCCGUAUAUUACUUCACUAAAAAACAAUAUGCGUGUUGUUCAAUAAUUACAGUAAAACAUUUUGCGACUCGGCGAUU